CCGUGGGGGCCUCGCGGCCCCUACCGAGAUAGCACCCUUUGUCUUCGAGCACCUUCUGUUUCCUCGGCGGGGACGCCCGCCAACGGGGACCAACCAAAACCCAAACCCGUAGUGUAAAGCAGUAAACCGUACCAAAAGCAAAAAUCA
rnacentral:misc_RNA from 1 species